GCAGACACAUUCCAGCCAAUCAGCAGCAGACCCUCCCUCCCAGACCCUCCCACCUCCUGGACAGCUCACUAAGAAAGCUGCAUUCUUAAAAUGGAUGCUGUCCAGGAGGUGGGUAGGAGGGUCUGGGAGGGAGGGUCUGCUGCUGAUUGGCUGGAAUGUGUCU